GGACGGAUGGCCGAGCGGUUUAAGGCACCGGUCUUGAAAACCGGCAGAGGGGCAACUCUCUCGUGGGUUCGAAUCCCACUCCGUCCGCCA
rnacentral:tRNA from 1 species